AUUAGCUUCUUUCCUACCUUGGAGAACUCAUAACACGAGCAGAGUCUGUCUGACUAAGGGUGUUUGUGCCCAAAAGCUUGCAAAGAACUUUUUUCCAACUAUUUAGUUGGUCUAAUAAAAGAUAGCACAUUUACUCAAAGAACCUUGCCUGCCUAAGAGGACUUGGACUGCAACUGAUGCCAAAUAUGGUUCUAUAGUGUGAAUAACGUGUUUACUUUUUUCUGCUUACAGUUUUAACUGUUAGAGAUGGACCCAGCCUACAAUCCUGCAUCUCACCUGAAGUCAACCCUUUUUACCUCAUCUGGACCCAGACUCGCCGACAAUGAGAUUUGGAAGAUUCAGAUGGUAACUGCAACUUUUUGUGUAACAGAGAACAUCUAGUCCAGCAUAGCUCCUCCUGCUCACUUCAGAAGAAGCUGGCUUUUAGGAGAGCUGUUACCUUUGUGCAUGUGAGUUCCUGUCCAAGUCAAGUCUGUUGUCACGUAUAUUCAUGAUAUAAUUAAAUCAGCCAUCAGAUGAGGACCUUCUGGUGGGCAAGCCAGUGGUGAUCUCAUUGAGGUAUAAAGUUACUCUUGGCUAGUCUCAGGAUUUCCCAGACAUACCUAAAUAGUCAAGUCCCCUUAUCUGGCAUAUUUCACAAACAGCCUGCAGAUGCUUGCAGUGAAUCAGUGUAAUGUUAUUUAAUGAAGAGAUGUUCGUAGCAAGGAAAAUACUUUGGUGAGUCGAACCCAGAAGGUUGCACGCUCCUGCUCAGUAAGGCAAGAAGAGAUCUAAAGGUAUAGAUAGCUAUAACUUCUGAUAAGUUCACUUCUGGGCCUUUUUCUUAGAAAAUUAGAUAUAUGCUGGCAACGUGAAAUGGUAGCGAAAAGACAAUUGGUUGUGGUCUUGUAAGUCAAAAUAGCCAAAGGCAAAGAGAUCAUUUUUCCUUUAAUCAGCUGUGGAAUGUCGAGCAUACGUUGGGACACCGACCCAGAAGAAUGCAUACUUGGAACUUCGAAAGAGUGCCUGUGUGCCUGGAAAGGACCAUACAUCAUACAAAACACAGAGAACUGAACACACAUUAUUUGGCUAAAUAAUGACUCAGGGGAUGACAGAGAUACCAGAACUGUUUAAAAACAUUUGCAAAACCUGCAAAGAAAACUACUUUACAAUGGUAAGCAACUAAACAAAGUCAAGCAUCUAUUGUAUAGGAGGAGAAUAAGUGAGACCCACUAGGUUCUGGAAUGAUUUUCCAAAGCAAAUGGCAUCCCAUGUUUGACCAAGCACUCGUGAAUGUGUUGGAGAAAACAUUCCAGUAUUAACAGCGAGUUGGGAAAGAUGAUCUACUAGGUUUUUUCUGUCUCUAGUUCCUAUGAUCUUCAAAAUACCACCUUCACUCCGCUGCAUGGUUUCCUGAAUCUGCUUGUGCUAAUGGGAAGAGGUUUGCAUUCUAUAUGAAAUGCAGGGCAGUCAUAUCACAAACUUGGCUUAAGCUUAGUUUCUCCUCCCGCCCCCGAGUAUUUUUUUCUCCACCGUUCAGAUCUGGAAAGUAGCAAGCUGACGGAGCUCGGGGUUGUUUUUUUAAAAUGUUGUGAUUCUUUCUUUUUAGAAUCCGUGCCCUAGUGCUUCUGGGAAACUCGUGACCUCUACAUUUUUAAUUAGAAGUUGUAAUUUUCCCAUGGCAACCUAUUUUGAUGUCACAAAUACAGAACCUGUGAAAUCAAACAGCUUCCAAUGAAAAGGCAUCUACCAAAAAAAAGAUGGAUCUGCAGAUAGAUGGUGGCAGGGUACUCAGUGACCUGCAGCGCAGGGGAGAAAAAGUUAACUGUUUCUCUUUUCAUACAUCUUCACGAGGCUCUAAUGAUGAGAUGGACAACCAUCUCAUCUUCCUGGGCAAAACUAAAGCUAGGUUUGAAUGGGAUUGGUCGGAGGAAGACACGGGUUAGGAACUGACAUUUCCGAACCCGCUCAUCACUGCCUGCCACAAUGACUUCACUCACCCUUCCUGAUAUUGCUGGGAAAGUUAUAAACAACGUUUCUCUCUCUUGUAUGGAGAAGUGUUAAGAACCAAAUAUUGUAUUUUCAAUUACCGUGUCCUAUUCUCACCCUCAACAAAGGUUGAGCACAGCUCUCUCCAAGCUGCUGGCGAAAGAUAGAUCAUUGUUGCCGUUGCAGGUUACUGGUAAUGCAGCAUUACAGGGGCACCUCAAGGAAGGAAAAGUGACUAUCGAUUCAGGACUAUCGUCUUUCCCCGAGCUCUUUUCUGGUUAGGACUAACCAUGGCACUGCCUCGUUUGAGUUUCCAUUGCCCGCAAUCAACCCGCUGGCACCACUGGAAUGCUAGCCGACACCUGCCGUAUUCGCCGUUCUGGUCGGGGGCCUGACCACAGCUCCCGGGAGCCGUCACCACAGUCAGCAUCAUCCCUCACGUUACAUAGCAGCUACUCAGGAACCAUGUUGUCUGCUCUUAUUGCUGGAUUAGAAGAGAACAGUUUAUAUACACUGGUGAAGGAUAAGUGAAUGCCAUUAAUAGGAUAUGCAGACCAUGGUUUCUCACUCUCUCAGGAUACAUUCACGUUUCCAGGCAUUAUUGCAAAUCAACCAAAAAUAGUUUUCACCUCAACAAUCAGAAAGACGGCAAUGCAUGUGCCCAAGCUGUGCACAGGCACAAAAAUCAAGGCUGUAGCUUCAUGCUUCCACUGUUCGAGGGAAGCAUGGGCCCCUUUAAGGAGUCACGGAGAGGAGGAGCAGAAUGGGCCUGCAUUAUGGGAUAACUUCCAACCUGACCAAAAAGACAGUGCUCUCUUGUGAAGCACAAGUUGACAUAUUAUAAAUGCAGUGGUGCACAGCCAAAGGCAAAGUUUCUCAAUCUUUUUCACUUGGCAAUCCUUUAUUCAAUGUCAAAAUGUUUUUAUAGCUGCUAUUACAUUUAUAGUAAAAAUAAGAAGAAAAACAUACUGGCAUUACGUUGCUGUGACUGAUGUGUGCGCGUUUCAAGAGCCUGACCAAGAAUAUUUGACCUUGAAGGGUAAGAGGGUGAGAGUGUUGGGAAGCAACAUUUUCUUUGCUUCUUUUACUGUCAUGCAAUUUUUAAAGACUCACAAAUCACAGUUUGCCUUUCAUGACCUCUUUAGGAACUACAGCCCAGCAGUUGAAAAAGGCUUGAAAAAAAUGCUAAUAUCCUGUUUGUAUGGACCGUAUAGCUAAAUGAGAUACUGGUGCACAUCAUCAGAGGAGAGAAUGGAAACGGUCUGGUGAGAGCCAGGCUGUAAGAGCUGUUGUCCUGCUCCUGCAGCUUAGUCACUGAACCCUGCUUUGCCUCCUACUCAUUCUAAAUAGAGGAGGACAGUGCUAAUUCCUCUGUUAUUUAGAAGGACUAGCUGCAAAACAGUUCAAAGGAUGUCAGAAGAGCCAGCUUUUGACUUAUUAAAAACCCUGUGGUCUGAUAAGAUCUUCACAGAUUAUGUGUGUCCGAAAUCAUUAUCCAGAAUGAACAACUUACAUACUUCAUUCCGAAUGGUGUGAGAAUCAAUUAGCCCUCAUAUAGGAAAGGGUGUGUUUGGUUUCUCUGGUAGGUACUGCAAUGGAAACAAACAAACACGAUCCCAGAUGCAACAACAUCCCACAGUAUUUCAUUAGGAAUCUACUGAAAA